AGCAUGAGUUCAGUCUGCUAGCAGGGCCUAGGGGAGCAAGAGGUGCUUCUGGCAGGCUGCAUGGGUUAAGACUGUGGGUGCCUUGGCCAGAGGACUGAGUCACUGAAGACCCACCUGACAAGUGCAGUGGCUGACGAGGGGCAUGGUGAGCUGACAAAUUGAGAACUGCAGGCAUGCACGCAGUCGACCAGGGAGUGCUUGUGAGAGUUACACCUCUGCAACCUCACUGAAGUUAAUGGUGUGGAUCAACUUACAGGGAACAACUUGGCCAACUAUAUCUAGAAAUUUCUGAAAAACAAAACUUUAUCAUUCUGUGGCGAAGGGACGCUGUCUCUAGCACCAACUGAACAACAAUACGAAAAACAGAUACACAGGAGACUCGAGACAAAUUUACUAGUAACCUGAGGAAAAAAUAUCUGGUUCGGAAUGUGUGUAUAAUGGGAAGAUUUUUUUCAGUGUUUUGUGGUGGAAGUUAUGCCUGGGGCUGCUUUUGGAAAACGUCAAAAUGUAACUAGAACUGUCAUUAGAGUACAGAGGAGAUGGUUAAUCAUAGAACUUGGGAGGGGAAGAAUCACAAAAAACCUGCCCAUUUGGAAUGUCAUAAUGUCCUGAAAUCAAGUAUCACUGAUUGGAAAGGCCAAUUAAUAUACAUAUAACACUUACUGUCAAUAAUGAAGGACUUACACUUUGGUGAUAAGCAUCCGAAAUUCACAGUUCAAGCUUUACUUAUUUUAUUUCCUCAUCAAUUUAUAGUUAAAAACCUUUUUUAUCUGAUAAGGAGGAGUGAUUGGCAAGGCACAGUGGGGGUGCCAACAAGGAAACACAGGGCCAUCCUGCUGAUAGCCCAUGGCUCCUAAAGGACCCACUUGCUUUGGGGGCAGGCCCUGCAGCCUUUUCUCUGGGUGGGGCAAACCACCUCCUCCUUGGUAGGAUGGUGUGUGCAUAGAUACCUGGAGAGGAAGGAUGAUAUGGGUCUGGAUGGUUAGGGUGCUAGUCUAGGACUCAGACGCAGGUUCAAUUCCUUUCUUCAUCACACAGUCACCUAGCCUCUCUCUGCUUCAGUUUCCCACCUGUAAAAUAGAGGUUAUAUUUCCCAACCUGACAGUGGUGUAAUGAGCAUUAAUACAUGUAAGAAUGUUGGGUACUCUGAUAACUAUGGUGAUGGGUGCCAUGUAAGUACCUGAAAUAGACGGAAAGCUCUUGAUAAGAGACUCCUAACUGAGAUUCCUCCUCCAUAGUCCACUGCCAUGAGUUUUCCUGUGGGAAAGGAUGAUCUGACCCAUUAUAAGGUUUUAAAGUGCAAAUUAUCAGUUGCCAUAAGCAAAUUUUGAAAUCCCCCAUGAACUGUAAUUACAGAUAGUAUAUCCCCAAGAGAAAAGCAUGACAGUCAAAGAAAGAGCUCAACUGACAGGAAAAAAUAUUCAGAUUACUGCCCCUGAAAAAUUAAAACUGUUAAAUCUCAGUGCUGAAAUCUAUAUUAAAGUCACUGGAAGAACAAAUGGCUGUCAUUACUACAACAAAGCAUGAUAUUAAAUACUAUGUGAUAAAAGAAGAUUAAGAUAGGUGUAGCAGAAUUUACAUUAAUUCUACCUAGCCAAGUGGAUUAUUUUUUUCUUAAAUGCUCGAGGGGAAAAUGACAGUCAAAUUGGAUUUGAAAAUGACUUGCAUGACAAUUAUUCAAGUUCACUCUUGUGCCUUAGGAAACAUUUUAAAAAAAUAUUUGUUUUCACUAAAAGUGUUUGCUUUUCUGUAUCUGGGGAAUGAAUCCAUGUAAGGCAUAGCCCCUGGAAGUCAAAUGACUGACUAAUGUAGUCAGAAUGGAAUGUAUCAGUAACUAGAGCCUGGUCUACAUGAGGAAAUUAGGUUGAUAUAACAUCACUCAGGGGUGUGAAAAAUCCACCUCCCUCAGCGAUGCAGUUAAACCGACUUAAUCUCCAGUGUAGACCAGUGGUUCUCAAAGCCGGACUACCGCUUGUUCAAGGAAAGCCCCUGGCAGGCUGGGCCCGUUUGUUUACCUGCCACAUCUGCAGAUUUGGCCAAUUGCGGGUCACUGCUCCAGGCCAAUGGGGGCUGCGGGAAGGGCGGCCGGCACAUCCCUCAGCCCAUGCCGCUUCCCGCAGCCCCUAUUGGGCUGGAGUGGCGAACCGCGGCCAAUGGGGGCUGCAAUUGGCCGAACCUGUGAUUGCGGCAGGUAAACAAACCACUAGGGGCUUUCCCUGAACAAGUGGUGGACUGGCUUUGAGAACCACUGGUGUAGACCCUGCUAGGCUGACAUCUGUUGGGAAGGUGGAGUACCUAUGCCGAUGGGAGAAUCCCUCCCGUCGGCAUAGGCAGCAUCUUCACUGAAGUGCUACAGUGGUGCAGCUGCCCCAGGGCAAUGUUUUAAGCCCUAAGACUAACUCCUGAUACAUUCUAGAAAAUAUAGCUUCAUAUAUUUACUUUUCUGCUAUUUCUAUUGUUACCAAGAAUUAAAAAGCAUCAAUGCAAUAUUAUGAGCAAAUAUGAGGUACAGUUCUUUUUUUUUUUCCACUUACUGUAGUGUAACUCCUUUAUCUUAGUGGGAGAGCACAAUCUAGCUCAAGCUAUUCAACAUAACAAAUAUAUUUCUACUGAAACAGUCGGUGUUCAUUCUACUAAGAAUAACCAUUAACGCUGUGGAAAAGGACAGACUAAUCCAGAACUACUAUAUGCUCAAUGUCAGAUUUACUAUAUAGUUCCUUUGGCCAUUAAUUAUACAUUUGGGAAAGUAUUGUACAUCAACUAAGGAACAGUUCAGAGCUUGUUUAAAAGUGGGUUCUAUAUUCACACCUUGAGAAAAACCCUAUGUCUAUUAUUCUAGCUAAGUAUUGGGUGAACUGGUAGAAUUGAAGGGGUAGUUGAUAACAAUAUGGUAGAUUACAAGAGGAUUCUGUUUUAGGGUCUGAUUAAAAGCCCACUGAGCUCAAUGAGGCUCUUUCAGUUGAUUUGGUUUGAUGGCUUUGGAUCAGGCCUGCAAAAAUCUAGUGGGAUCAGAAUAAAGCCAGCUCCUCCAUCCCUGCAAAAACUAGUGUUCACAGUUUGUUUCAGAAAUUCCCUCCCUUUGUCUAAGUGUUGAAUGUCUAUAGCUGUUGAAAAAUGGGGGGGGGGGAAAUUAAUGGAAAAAUUGUUUGGAAAAGUUCUGAAUUAAACAUAUUUCGGCAAAAUUUCAAAAUUCAAGAGAUGUUGACCCAUUCUAGUCAAGCUACUAAAGGGCAAUCCUUAAACAUUAUCUGAACAAUCUGAAAUUUUUGCAUCUGCAAAACUAGACUGGAAGAACCCUGAGAAUAACCUUUCUUGCCUUAUUUUCACACUUUUGCCUGACAGAACUGAGGACAGUGUCAAUAUAAAGUAAUGGAGAAAACAGCUUCAAAAUUUUCCACAAACCUCAAAGAAAAAAACCCCAGUUAGGAAUCACAUUUUGUACAAAGGUUUUGCUUGGUUGCUGAACAUGAUUGUCCAACCUAACUCUUGAGUAGAGCUGUGUAAAAGCAACAGAUGCAAUUCAGAAGAGCCAGUGUAAAUCUUUUCUUCAAUUUCAGUUGAUGGAAUUUGCAUCUCUUGAAUUUUAUGUAGAGUUUGAGGUUUAAAUGCAACCAGAAAUUCAAAAUGAAACUUAAAAUUGCUAAGCUUUUCUUUCAGUUUCAUGUGGAAAAUGUAAGUUGGCCCAGGUUUGCUCAAAAGACUGGAGGACCAUAAUAAACAUUCAAAAUCAAACUCUC